AAACUGAGGCAGCACAUCGCACACUGGUGUGGAAGGAAGCCACCGGAGCAAUUUUUCUGGAACCAGCUCUGAAAAAAAUCUGCAUUGGUGUCUGGCGGGAAUAUCUGGAGCCUUGGAGCUUGGCCUGAUGCUUCUCAUUGAAAUGAGCAGGAAUUUUGUCACUUGCUUCUCUGGCCUAAGUUUGCUCCUGAGGCUGGCUAAGGAAAAGGGACCUGCAGGUUUGCUGCUGACCAGCAGGCAGUGCAUGCAGCUGGAGGCCCAGGACCGAGGAUGAAUUGGAGAGAUAUGCUAUCUGUGAGCACCAAUGCCUGUCUAGCCUUGUACACCCUGUAGGAAAAAGAAGAAUUUCUGAAAAAGACAACCCGCCAAGAGAGAGGCUGGGCAGUGCAUGCCUUGUUUCUCACUCUCUUUCCAUCAGCACCCACUGCUGAGCCCUUGUGGAAGCAGGCUGCAGAAGGAAAGACCUGUCAGAGCCAGGAUGGCUCUAGUGACAAAGCUACAGUGAUUUAAGAGCUUAUGAACAUGGGGUGCUUCAGACACUGUGCAAAUAGAAAGAAGAUCCUGCCUAGCAGCUAAUCCCUGAGACCUUUUAAUGACCAGGGCUCUUGUGGCUUUCUUCUUGUGAUUCCUGGGUCUGGGUACUCUGACAUCUGUCCACGUGGUGUAAGAUUUGAAGCCCAUACUCCAAAAGCCAGUCUGAUAGUCAAGAAACAGUGGUUUGGGCAAUUUUUCAAUCCUCCAGCAUAUUUUGGGGCAUAAUGUUGAUGAGCUGUAGUGAAACUCCCAGGCAGGUGAGGUGGCUGAGCCAGCAGAGGUGUUGCAAGGUGCUGCUGAGUGCCACUGCUGCAGCAAAUGCUGUGAGCAGCCGGUGACUCAGGUCUCUGCUGUAUUUCCUAAUGAAAGUCUGAAGGAUCUGGUGUCUUUAUUAAUCACUACAGCUCAGCUCUCCACUGUUAGUAUCUUCCCAUGGUUUUGUGUAUCUUGGCAUGGUUAGAUAACCAAACAAUUUUUUGAGUGCUCUGAUGAGAAAAAAACACUGGUAGCAGACACCCAGGAGGCAGCACCAUGGGCUGAGUUAAAACUCCAGGGCUGUUCUUUGUUACACUUGAGGUGAAAAGCUCAGGACCACUGCACCAUCACUGUAUGGUGCUCCCUAUUUCAGGAUGAGCCUGACAUGGAUGAAAAAGAAGAGCUGGAAUGGCUGAGCAAACAGGUCUGCAGCUGAGGAGAGUUUCCACCAUGCUCUGUGGGAUUUCUGUGAGUCCAGCAGCUCACAGGAUGUGUUAAUAAGUAUGCU
rnacentral:lncRNA from 1 species